UGUACGAGUGACGAAUUUCCGGGCCAGGAUGGUCCAUUUAAAAUGAAUUCCUUCCUUCCUCCCUCGCCCUGCAAGUGUAAACUCGCCAGACGUCAUGAUAAGUCAUCAGAAGUGUCCACUGAAUUUGAGGGCUGAGGGGAGAGUGUGUUUUUAAUGCAGCCUUUAUUGUACAAUCCUUACUGUUGACCAAUCACCGACGAAGUGGCUUAGACUUCGGCUUGCCUCUAGAAAAAAAUGUUGUGUGCCCGAACAACAGACCGAAAGGGUAAACCAGAGACGUCUUAGGGGCUAUAAAGCUGAAGCGUCCCUUUAGAAUGGUAGUGAGAGAAAAUCCAGUCGCGGGUAGUGGGAGCGGAUGGAAAUAGCGGAAACUGGGCCGACAUAAUGCUAAUUUUGUCGUCGAUGAAACAUCUGAUCUCAAUACAAUUUGAAUGUACCAAAAGUACAAUAUGUUACGAGCACAGUGCGCUAAGUUUUAUAGACUUGAAGAUUUGCCGAAGUUUUAAAAAAUUGCGUUCAGGAGUGCAAGGGUCGAAUUGAGUUUGUGCUUGGCUUUGCCCACUAUGCUCAUACUGUAAACAGCACAGAUGAACUAACUUCGUUUUGGAAACAAUUUCCAAAAGCCUAAAUGUCAUAAUAUAUGCACGAAUUUUCCAAACUGUUCGGCUGGGAAGAAUCCCUGGUUCAUCGUCCGUGCUUCAGCUGAUGACACCGAACAUGGAAAGACUGACUGAGACGGGCAAACCCCACUCCGUUGCCAGCAACAUUGCAUAGCAAUAUUGCCCCCCAGAAAUGGCCAGUGUAUCAUUAGCCGUCACAUGCACAGCCUUUGGCACGGAAAAAACUCAGCUGGGAGAGUAAAAGUAUCCCGUUCAAUGGUGUUCCGUUUCAAGUUGUUGGCACAAAGACGUAUGAAUGCCACCAGGGCAAAGACAGACAGACAAAAGCCAAAGAGAAAUAUGCUGCUGAAAGAGACAAGAAGGAACUUGAAGACCAUACCUUUGUAAAGAGACGGAAACUGGUACAAAAUACCAAAAAGGUGGACUGCAAGGCUAUAAUAAACAUCGCUCACAUUAUUCGCUUUCCUGAUUUUAAGAUUGAGGAAAGUACAGUGCGCUCUAAAAAGGAGGCCUCCCAAACUCUGAAGGCAGCACUAAGUGAAACACCCAGCUCCGUGAAGGCAGAGGUUGUCUACUGCGUCAGGUUCCCCUCCCUUUCUGAGCACAGCUCACAUGCAGUUGUUGGCGAGGCAGCUCAUGUUAGGGAAGCUGUAGAUGCCAGGCUGAGAGAGAAGAUUGAGCAGCUGACUCUGUCUGGUGUGAGAAAGAUGACUGAAAUGAAGUGUCAUCUGAACACCUUUGUAGUGGAAGAGCUUUUCCAUGGAGAGCAGCCCCCUCCACCUACUCGCAGGCGCUAUUACCCCACUGACAGUGACAUAAGAAAUGUCAUGUUUAAGACCAAGCGGGCCACCGGAGACUCCAAUAUUGACCGUCCAUACGAAGGUCCAUCUGGAAGAGGAAAGAAGAGGUCCUCUAGGAAGCUGUUGCGGUUACGGAGGCAAUGUGCAGGAUAUCUUAAAGAGAUCACAGAACUCACUUACCAUCUCGAAGAGGAACAGUACGUGACUGACCUGUCUUCACAGCUCAGAAGCAUGUUGCUGGAUAUGAAGGCCCAUGUUCCACAGGAUAAAGACCUUCCACUGACCUUUUCUUCAAGGAAGAGAAAAUCUGAGAUGGACAUGGACCUCAUUCCAACCAAGAGUGCAUCACACCCUUUCAUAGAUGGGUUAGAACAGCAUACAGAGGACAUAGUGAGUGUGGAUACCUUGUUGGCAUUGAGCCUAGGUUAGUAGGGCUGAGUGGAUACCUUGUUGGCAUUGAGCCUAGGUUAGUAGGGCUGAGUGGAUACCUUGUUGGCAUUGAGCCUAGGUUAGUAGGGCUGCGUGGAUACCUUGUUGGUAUUUAGCCUAGGGUAGUAGGGCUGCAUGGAUACCUUUUUGGCAUUGAGCCUAGGUUUGUACGGCUGAGUGGAUACGUUGUUGGUAUUUAGCCUAGGGCUGAUGACUGUGGGUUCUGCCACCAAUUGAGUAUAUUUUGGGUAGUGUAACUUUUAUUUCAACUAAUGUUAAUGUAACGGAUGUGAAAUGGCUAGCUAGAUUUAAAGUUAUACUGUUACAUUAACAACUUCAUAAAAACAUGUUUUCUCAUCUCAAGAUGUAAAACAAAUACAUGACUAUAGUAAGUCAUUUAGGAGGCAUAUAAACACACUGUUCCACUCAUCUGCAGCUACUCUGCACUUUAUUGUAUUAUGGUCUGUCCUGAUGCCUAGUCACUUUACUCUGCACAUUUAUCUCCUUGAUCUGGUACUUCCUGUAUAUAGUCGCACAUUGAUCUGGUACUGGUAAUCCCUGUAUAUA